ACUGCUCAGUAACACGUAGCUAACCUACCCUUAGGACAUCGAUAACCCCGGGAAACUGGGGGUAAUCCCCGAUAGAUGAGGAGGCCUGGAAUGGUUUCUCAUUCAAAAGGCGUCUAGACCAUGCUUUUAGGCGUCGCCAAAGGAUGGGGCCGCGACCGAUCAGGUUGUUGGCGAGGUAACGGCUCACCAAGCCUAUAACCGGUACGGGCCGUGAGAGCGGGAGCCCGGAGAUGGGCACUGAGACAAGGGCCCAGGCCCUACGGGGCGCAGCAGUUGCGAAAACUCCGCAAUGCGCGAAAGCGUGACGGGGCUACCCCGAGUGCCGUCCGCUGAGGACGGCUUUUCCACGGUGUAAGGAGCCGUGGGAAUAAGGAGAGGGCAAGACUGGUGUCAGCCGCCGCGGUAAUACCAGCACCCCGAGUGGUCGGGACGAUUAUUGGGCCUAAAGCAUCCGUAGCCGGUCCUGCAAGUCCUCCGUUAAAUCCACCCGCUCAACGGUUGGGCCGCGGGGGAUACUACAGGGCUAGGAGGCGGGAGAGGCAAGCGGUACUUGAUGGGUAGGGGUAAAAUCCACUGAUCCAUUGAAGACCACCAGUGGCGAAGGCGGCUUGCCAGAACGCGCUCGACGGUGAGGGAUGAAAGCUGGGGGAGCAAACCGGAUUAGAUACCCGGGUAGUCCCAGCUGUAAACGAUGCAGACUCGGUGAUGGGCUGGCCUCGUGCCUACCCGGUGCCGCAGGGAAGCCGUUAAGUCUGCCGCCUGGGGAGUACGGUCGCAAGACUGAAACUUAAAGGAAUUGGCGGGGGAGCAC
rnacentral:rRNA from 1 species